rnacentral:rRNA from 1 species
AUUGAACGCUGGCGGCAGGCUUAACACAUGCAAGUCGAGCGAGCGGCGGACGGGUGAGUAAUGUAUGGGGAUCUGCCCGAUGGAGGGGGAUAACUACUGGAAACGGUGGCUAAUACCGCAUACUAUCGGAUGAACCCAAAUGGGAUUAGCUAGUAGGUGGGGUAAAGGCUCACCUAGGCGACGAUCUCUAGCUGGUCUGAGAGGAUGAUCAGCCACACUGGGACUGUGACACGGCCCAGACUCCUCCGGGAGGCAGCAGUGGGGAAUAUUGCGCAAUGGGCGCAAGCCUGAUGCAGCCAGGCCGCGUGGAUGAAGAAGGCCUUCGGGUUGUAAAGUACUUUCAGCGGGGAGGCGUUACCCGCAGAAGAAGCACCGGCUAACUCCGUGCCAGCAGCCGCGGUAAUAC